rnacentral:piRNA from 1 species
UGAAUACUUGUCAGUAUUUUAAUGUUGCCA